rnacentral:rRNA from 1 species
AACGCUGGCGGCGUGCUAAUACAUGCAAGUCGAGCGGACAGAAGGGAGCUUGCUCCCGGAUGUUAGCGGCGGACGGGUGAGUAACACGUGGGUAACCUGCCUGUAAGACUGGGAUAACUCCGGGAAACCGGAGCUAAUACCGGAUAGUUCCUUGAACCGCAUGGUUCAAGGAUGAAAGACGGUUUCGGCUGUCACUUACAGAUGGACCCGCGGCGCAUUAGCUAGUUGGUGAGGUAACGGCUCACCAAGGCGACGAUGCGUAGCCGACCUGAGAGGGUGAUCGGCCACACUGGGACUGAGACACGGCCCAGACUCCUACGGGAGGCAGCAGUAGGGAAUCUUCCGCAAUGGACGAAAGUCUGACGGAGCAACGCCGCGUGAGUGAUGAAGGUUUUCGGAUCGUAAAGCUCUGUUGUUAGGGAAGAACAAGUGCAAGAGUAACUGCUUGCACCUUGACGGUACCUAACCAGAAAGCCACG